AGCAGCCGCGGUAAUUCCAGCUCCAAUAGCGUAUAUUAAAGUUGUUGCAGUUAAAAAGCUCGUAGUUGAAUUUCGAGACCGGUUUACUGGUCGUGCUUUUGUACGUACUGGUAUUAUUGGUUUCUCCUUUCUGACGAAUCAUAAUGCCAUUAAUUUGGUGUUUUGGGGAAUCAGGACUGUUACUUUGAAAAAAUUAGAGUGUUUAAAGCAGGCUCACGCUUGAAUACAUUAGCAUGGAAUAACGAAAUAGGACGUUUGAUUUUAUUUUGUUGGUUUCUAGGAUCGACGUAAUGAUUAAUAGGGAUAGUUGGGGGCAUUAGUAUUCAAUUGUCAGAGGUGAAAUUCUUGGAUUUAUUGAAGACUAACUACUGCGAAAGCAUUUGCCAAGGAUGUUUUCAUUAAUCAAGAACGAAAGUUAGGGGAUCGAAGACGAUCAGAUACCGUCGUAGUCUUAACCAUAAACUAUGCCGACU
rnacentral:rRNA from 1 species